ACGUCACAAUUUACAGCUCUUUGAUUGGCUUAGAAGUUUUAGAAUUUCAGCCAAGACAAUCAGAGAGCUUUAAAUUGUGAUG